rnacentral:lncRNA from 1 species
CUUAGACUGAAACGGGCAUUGUUGAACCCAUGUUGGGCAUCGGAGUGGUGUAAGGUAUCGUGGCCAUGCACAAGAUGACGGAGGACGCCAGGUUCAGCAUGAGACACAGGGUAAAGUUUGGGCAUCGGGACGAGCUGUGCAGUGUGACCACCAGAACAGCUAUGUUACCAGGGAGGCCCAGCACACAGCACAGCCCCAGGACGAUGUUCUAAAUCAGGGGGCAUCAAUCCAGGGAGGUGGGGUCCAUGCUGGAGGUGUUGGGGGAGUUCAGAUUUACCACCUUUUCUCCCCAAUUUGUAGUUACAGUCUUGUCCCAUCGCAGCAACUCCUCUAUGGACUCAGGAGAGGCGAAGGUCGAGAGCCAUGCAUCCUCCAAAACACAAUCCUGCCAAGCCGUACUGCUUCUUGACACACUGCUCGCUUAACUCGGAAGCCAGCCGCACCAAUGUGUCAGAGGAAACACUGUCCAGCUGGCAACCGAGGUCAGCUUGCAGGCUCCCAUUCCAC